UACAGAGGUCUCAAGCGUUGUUCGGAUUCAUUGGGCGUAAAGCGCACGCAGGCGGUGCGGUAAGUUUCGAGUGACAGGUGGUGGCUUAACUGCCACAGGACUCGGAAAACUGCCGCACUUGAGGGCUUGAGAGGGACGCGGAAUUCCAGGUGGAGCGGUGAAAUGCGUAGAGAUCUGGAAGAACACCAAAGGCGAAGGCAGCGUCCUGGCAAGUCACUGACGCUCAGGUGCGAAAGCUAGGGGAGCGAACGGG
rnacentral:rRNA from 1 species